GAGGUGGUAGCUCAGUGGUAGAGCCCAGGACUUGUAUGCCUGAGGCUCUGCGUUCAAUCCUUAGCACCGCA
rnacentral:tRNA from 1 species